rnacentral:rRNA from 1 species
UACGUAGGGAGCGAGCGUUGUCCGGAUUCAUUGGGCGUAAAGAGCUCGUAGGCGGCUUGGUAAGUCGGAUGUGAAACCUCCAGGCUCAACCUGGAGUCGCCAUCCGAUACUGCCAUGGCUAGAGUCCGGUAGGGGCCCACGGAAUUCCUGGUGUAGCGGUGAAAUGCGCAGAUAUCGGAAGGAACACCUGUGGUGUAGACAGCUUACUGGACCAUUUCUGACGCUGAGACACGAAAGCGUGGGUAGCAAACAGG